rnacentral:rRNA from 1 species
AGUGAACGCUGGCGGUAGGCCUAACACAUGCAAGUCGAACGGCAGCACAGGAGAGCUUGCUCUCUGGGUGGCGAGUGGCGGACGGGUGAGGAAUACAUCGGAAUCUGCCCAGUCGUGGGGGAUAACGUAGGGAAACUUACGCUAAUACCGCAUACGACCUUCGGGUGAAAGAGGGGGAUCGCAAGACCUCUCGCGAUUGGAUGAGCCGAUGUCGGAUUAGCUAGUUGGCGGGGUAAUGGCCCACCAAGGCGACGAUCCGUAGCUGGUCUGAGAGGAUGAUCAGCCACACUGGAACUGAGACACGGUCCAGACUCCUACGGGAGGCAGCAGUGGGGAAUAUUGGACGAUGGGCGCAAGCCUGAUCCAGCCAUACCGCGUGGGUGAAGAAGGCCUUCGGGUUGUAAAGCCCUUUUGUUGGGAAAGAAAUCUUUCAGGCUAAUACCCUGGGAGGAUGACGGUACCCAAAGAAUAAGCACCGGCUAACUUCGUG